rnacentral:lncRNA from 1 species
UCAUAAUCGCUUUCUUGAAGGUAUACUAUAUAAUCUGGUGGAAUUGGAGAUCUCCUUACCCUUGAUGACCUUCUUAAAGUUGCUUCUUGAUCCACUGGUUCUAUAGGUGGAGGAGCAACAUUCUCAGUGAUAACUGGCACAGAUUCAAGUGGAACAUUAAUAGUAGACUCAUCCUCCUCCAAAUCAUUAUCACUGAUAGGUGGAGGAAUCGUUGGCUGCUUAUUUG